UUAAGUUAUUAAGGGCGCACGGUGGAUGCCUUGGCACUAGAAGCCGAUGAAGGACGUUACUAACGACGAUAUGCUUUGGGGAGCUGUAAGUAAGCUUUGAUCCAGAGAUUUCCGAAUGGGGAAACCCAGCAUGAGUUAUGUCAUGUUAUCGAUAUGUGAAUACAUAGCAUAUCAGAAGGCACACCCGGAGAACUGAAACAUCUUAGUACCCGGAGGAAGAGAAAGAAAAUUCGAUUCCCUUAGUAGCGGCGAGCGAAACGGGAAGAGCCCAAACCAACAAGCUUGCUUGUUGGGGUUGUAGGACACUCUAUACGGAGUUACAAAGGACGACAUUAGACGAAUCAUCUGGAAAGAUGAAUCAAAGAAGGUAAUAAUCCUGUAGUCGAAAAUGUUGUCUCUCUUGAGUGGAUCCUGAGUACGACGGAGCACGUGAAAUUCCGUCGGAAUCUGGGAGGACCAUCUCCUAAGGCUAAAUACUCUCUAGUGACCGAUAGUGAACCAGUACCGUGAGGGAAAGGUGAAAAGCACCCCGGAAGGGGAGUGAAAUAGAACCUGAAACCGUGUGCUUACAAGUAGUCAGAGCCCGUUAAUGGGUGAUGGCGUGCCUUUUGUAGAAUGAACCGGCGAGUUACGAUUUGAUGCAAGGUUAAGCAGUAAAUGUGGAGCCGUAGCGAAAGCGAGUCUGAAUAGGGCGUUUAGUAUUUGGUCGUAGACCCGAAACCAGGUGAUCUACCCUUGGUCAGGUUGAAGUUCAGGUAACACUGAAUGGAGGACCGAACCGACUUACGUUGAAAAGUGAGCGGAUGAACUGAGGGUAGCGGAGAAAUUCCAAUCGAACCUGGAGAUAGCUGGUUCUCUCCGAAAUAGCUUUAGGGCUAGCCUCAAGUGAUGAUUAUUGGAGGUAGAGCACUGUUUGGACGAGGGGCCCCUCUCGGGUUACCGAAUUCAGACAAACUCCGAAUGCCAAUUAAUUUAACUUGGGAGUCAGAACAUGGGUGAUAAGGUCCGUGUUCGAAAGGGAAACAGCCCAGACCACCAGCUAAGGUCCCAAAAUAUAUGUUAAGUGGAAAAGGAUGUGGCGUUGCCCAGACAACUAGGAUGUUGGCUUAGAAGCAGCCAUCAUUUAAAGAGUGCGUAAUAGCUCACUAGUCGAGUGACACUGCGCCGAAAAUGUACCGGGGCUAAACAUAUUACCGAAGCUGUGGAUUGUCCUUUGGACAAUGGUAGGAGAGCGUUCUAAGGGCGUUGAAGCAUGAUCGUAAGGACAUGUGGAGCGCUUAGAAGUGAGAAUGCCGGUGUGAGUAGCGAAAGACGGGUGAGAAUCCCGUCCACCGAUUGACUAAGGUUUCCAGAGGAAGGCUCGUCCGCUCUGGGUUAGUCGGGUCCUAAGCUGAGGCCGACAGGCGUAGGCGAUGGAUAACAGGUUGAUAUUCCUGUACCACCUAUAAUCGUUUUAAUCGAUGGGGGGACGCAGUAGGAUAGGCGAAGCGUGCGAUUGGAUUGCACGUCUAAGCAGUAAGGCUGAGUAUUAGGCAAAUCCGGUACUCGUUAAGGCUGAGCUGUGAUGGGGAGAAGACAUUGAGUCUUCGAGUCGUUGAUUUCACACUGCCGAGAAAAGCCUCUAGAUAGAAAAUAGGUGCCCGUACCGCAAACCGACACAGGUAGUCAAGAUGAGAAUUCUAAGGUGAGCGAGCGAACUCUCGUUAAGGAACUCGGCAAAAUGACCCCGUAACUUCGGGAGAAGGGGUGCUCUUUAGGGUUAACGCCCAGAAGAGCCGCAGUGAAUAGGCCCAAGCGACUGUUUAUCAAAAACACAGGUCUCUGCUAAACCGUAAGGUGAUGUAUAGGGGCUGACGCCUGCCCGGUGCUGGAAGGUUAAGAGGAGUGGUUAGCUUCUGCGAAGCUACGAAUCGAAGCCCCAGUAAACGGCGGCCGUAACUAUAACGGUCCUAAGGUAGCGAAAUUCCUUGUCGGGUAAGUUCCGACCCGCACGAAAGGCGUAACGAUUUGGGCACUGUCUCAACGAGAGACUCGGUGAAAUCAUAGUACCUGUGAAGAUGCAGGUUACCCGCGACAGGACGGAAAGACCCCGUGGAGCUUUACUGUAGCCUGAUAUUGAAAUUCGGCACAGCUUGUACAGGAUAGGUAGGAGCCUUUGAAACGUGAGCGCUAGCUUACGUGGAGGCGCUGGUGGGAUACUACCCUAGCUGUGUUGGCUUUCUAACCCGCACCACUUAUCGUGGUGGGAGACAGUGUCAGGCGGGCAGUUUGACUGGGGCGGUCGCCUCCUAAAAGGUAACGGAGGCGCUCAAAGGUUCCCUCAGAAUGGUUGGAAAUCAUUCAUAGAG
rnacentral:rRNA from 1 species